GGUCAAGGAGAGUGCUGCAAUGGAGUUGAGGAGGGAAGCAGGAACAGGGAUAGAGAAAGAGAAGGCCAUGCCAUUUCACAGAAGAUUUGGCUCCCUUUCUGUUAAGCGAGAGAGUGUGAGUUGGUAUCUGUUUUGACCAAAAGUGAUGAGCUUGCACUUGAUUGGCAUCUGGAAACUGUUACACUGUUAGACCUUUCACAAGUAUACGCGCUAUUUUUGUUCGUCCCGACUGGACCAUUUUAAUUUCCCAAAACCACGACCCACGAGUGAAAAAGCAACCUUUUAUGGGUUGAUUAGGAUGGAGGGUGGAGGCUGGAAGCUGCCCAUUUCAUUGAGACAUUUCAUUAAGCAAGUUACUCACUGGGCCGCAUUCCCUAUAUGCACGGAUAGCUCAGGUCCGCUGGAAUUCCAAGAAAGAGAUCCUGAUUCGAGUCCUUCGGAGAUUU
rnacentral:misc_RNA from 1 species